GCCAGUCCUUCUCAGUCUUUUGUGGCGGCAGGAGGUGGGCGGGUUAUAGCCCGACACUUUCACUACGUAUUAUUUUACGCCUUUGGUUGAACUGACACGGGAUUUUGUCUUUUUACAAUGCUACUGACAUUAAUUUCUACACUCAAAAGGUUCUGAUUAAAGUGACACGGGAUUUCACGUCUUUUUUAAGGUUCUAGUGACAAUAAGAAGACCUCUGGUGUUUCCACGCCUCCAAAUCAUCAUCUUACUGGACUAAAGUCACAAGACAUAACUACAGAAGCAGGACUACGUAAUCAAGUUUACGGGUGACCCCUCAGAAUAACAAAGACGUGCACUACGAUCAACUGAUGGGAGAGGAACGUGGGAAAGGAAGAGGAGGAGAGCAGAAGAAGGUCCCUUGGAGAGAGAAGAAAGCCAAAUAAAAACACAUCAGCCGUGUUCUUGCUACGUAUUCCCAUUUGCCAGUAGAGGCUGCUCAGCUGCUAAUAGUAUUGCCACCGCCACCGCCGCCGCCAGCAGCAGCUUCAGCAAGACUUAAGUGUCGUCCUCAGAUCUGACUCAGCGUACAAGAAGCAUGACAUCUCAGCAACGCACUCCAGGGAGCGGCCUUGAGAGCUGACGAAUGCGUGGGAUGG